rnacentral:snoRNA from 1 species
ACUCUUUUCAACUCUGCAUAAUUCCUCUUGGCUUCACCUGUACAACUUUCAUAAUGAGGGGAGAGAGAAAAGAUCUCCUGGAGCCCUCAGAAUGGCCUUACUAUGGCCUCUCUUCCCUUGAGGGAUACGAUAUGU